rnacentral:rRNA from 1 species
UACGAAGGGUGCAAACGUUGCUCGGAAUCAUUGGGCGUAAAGCGCACGUAGGCGGCCUGUUAAGUCGGGUGUGAAAGCCCUGGGCUCAACCCAGGAAGUGCACUCGAAACUGGCGGGCUUGAAUAUGGAAGAGGGUCGCGGAAUUCCCGGUGUAGAGGUGAAAUUCGUAGAUAUCGGGAGGAACACCAGUGGCGAAGGCGGCGACCUGGGCCAAUAUUGACGCUGAGGUGCGAAAGCGUGGGGAGCGAACAGG